CACUCUUGCUUAGAGUUGUAUAAAUUGGAGCAAAUGUAUUCACACAAACACAAGAGAAAAAAUAUGGCGAAAACAAGUACCAUUGUCUUAGUUCUAAUUAUUAUGGCGAUUUUGAAUGGCCAUGCUGCUGAAGUAACCUUUAUCAUUGAUUGUGCAAUAUUGUAUCAGGAAUGUUUUGUAACACACAUCCCAUAUACAUGUCCUCUCUUUUUUCAAUUCUGUCCAUACUACAAAGGUAGCACCGGUCCAAAUCCACCAACAGCUUCUAUUACUCCAUGAUAUGUACGUGGCUAGCUUGUUAUAAUAUGAUGAUAUGAUAUAAAAAUUAUAUAUUAGGCCUAUUUAUUUAUCUAUAUAUAAUUUUUAUAUCAUAUACAUAUCAUGGAGUAAUAGCAGCUUAUGGUGGAUGACCGGUGGUACCUUUGUAGUAUGAACAGAACUGAAAAAAGAGUGGACAUGUAUAUGGGAUGUGUGUUACAAAACAUUCCUGAUACAAUAUUGCACAAUCAAUAUGAAUGCUUAAUGGGUCCAUUGAGCUAUUUAUGGAGAUUAAUCUGCAGCUAUAGAAGCUAUGAAAUCGAAGAAUCUAUAGUAUGUAUUUAGCGUCCCAAGGCCUAUUUCACUGUGGUUUUCAAAAGCAGGAAACUGGAGAGUUUGUUGGUCUCUACAUGCAAAUAAUACUCAUCCUUUUUAGCAAGAAGCAAGUAUCUAUAGCUGAUAAACAUUGUUUGUGUUUCUAUUUGAUCAUUGUAAUCAUGCCAUUAGGGGCUUUUAAAAUGUUUGGUAUUUCACUUUCUGUGUAUGGAUGUGUUCAUUUGAUGUAAGCAUAAUUGCCUUGACAUUUUUAUGAUGCAUAUUUUAUGUUUCAUAAUGAAUUUCACUGAUUUAUGAAACUUGCUUAAGUCA